rnacentral:rRNA from 1 species
UACGGAAGGGGCGAGCGUUGUUCGGAUUCAUUGGGCGUAAAGCGCGUGUAGGCGGUCAGGUCAGUCGAAGGUGAAAUUUCUACGGCUCAACCGAGAAAAUGCCUCCGAAACUGCCGGACUUGAGUGCGAGAGAGGUGAGUGGAAUUCCGAGUGUAGCGGUGAAAUGCGUAGAUAUUCGGAGGAACACCAGUGGCGAAGGCGGCUCACUGGCUCGCAACUGACGCUGAGACGCGAAAGCGUGGGGAGCGAA